rnacentral:rRNA from 1 species
GAUGAACGCUAGCUACAGGCUUAACACAUGCAAGUCGAGGGACCGGCGCACGGGUGAGUAACGCGUAUCCAACCUGCCCACCACUUGGGAUAACCUUGCGAAAGUAAGACUAAUACCCAAUGGUGAUGGAUGGGGAUGCGUCUGAUUAGCUUGUUGGCGGGGUAACGGCCCACCAAGGCGACGAUCAGUAGGGGUUCUGAGAGGAAGGUCCCCCACAUUGGAACUGAGACACGGUCCAAACUCCUACGGGAGGCAGCAGUGAGGAAUAUUGGUCAAUGGACGAGAGUCUGAACCAGCCAAGUAGCGUGCAGGAUGACGGCCUAUGGGUUGUAAACUGCUUUUAUAAGGGAAUAUGUACCUUAUGAAUAAGGACCGGCUAAUUCCGUGCCAGCAGCCGCGGUAAUACGGAAGAUCCGGGCGUUAUCCGGAUUUAUUGGGUUUAAAGGGAGCGUAGGCCGGAGAUUAAGCGUGUUGUGAAAUGUAGACGCUCAACGUCUGCACUGCAGCGCGAACUGGUUUCCUUGAGUACGCACAAAGUGGGCGGAAUUCGUGGUGUAGCGGUGAAAUGCUUAGAUAUCACGAAGAACUCCGAUUGCGAAGGCAGCUCACUGGAG